CUAUAAGGUGUGCUGUUCAGAUAUGGAACCACUAUAAGGUGUGCUGUUCAGAUAUGGAACCACUAUAAGGUGUGCUGUUCAGAUAUGGAACCACUAUAAGGUGUGCUGUUCAGAUAUGGAACCACUAUAAGGUGUGCUGUUCAGAUAUGGAACCACUAUAAGGUGUGCUGUUCAGAAGGGUGUUUUUUUUUUUACCGCAAAUUACAUUUUGGCAAAUGUUGAACGUUUUCUUGGCUGCUUCAUUACGCGUGUUGCAUGUUCUGUUAAGAUGCAUUAUCAUAUUGUAAAUGUGAUUUGUGUCAUUCCGAGCACUAUGGGUGGACACCGUCAUGGGCUUAUGCACCCAAUGCAUAUGGUUCAGUAGAAUUUCUCAAAUGGACAGUAAAUUAAAAUCUUCCCGGUCGCAUUGUCUGGCGUCACCUUUCCCAAAUGGGAACUCUGCCCCUAAUUAGCGUUAGCGUAAUGAAUGGAAGCCUGUGGGUAUCUGCUAGAAUGCUUGUCAAUGCUAGCAGAUACCAUAGACUUUCAGUCAUUCCGCUAACACUAGACACUGAGGCAUGCAAAUUGUGGGGAUGACUCUGGGGAAGUAACUAAAGGGCCUCGUUGCCACAAUCCCGAAGUAUCCAUUUAACCCCUAAACCUAAAAUAGCCCUUUUCCUUGUAGGGGCUGGCGAAAUGUCCCCUCUUGUCUGAAUUGUCCUUGUUUUACUCUCCUUGUGAGGACUUCUGGUCCCCACAAGGAGAGUAAAAGCAAAACAAACACAUCUACCUCUCCUCACACACUCACUUUCGCCCUA